UACGUAGGGACCAAGCGUUGUUCGGAUUUACUGGGCGUAAAGGGCGCGUAGGCGGCAUGACAAGUCACUUGUGAAAUCUCCGGGCUUAACUCGGAACGGCCAAGUGAAACUGUCAAGCUAGAGUGCGGAAGGGGCAAUCGGAAUUCUUGGUGUAGCGGUGAAAUGCGUAGAUAUCAAGAGGAACGCCUGAGGUGAAGACGGGUUGCUGGGCCGACACUGACGCUGAUGCGCGAAAGCCAGGGGAGCAAACGGG
rnacentral:rRNA from 1 species